GUGCCAGCAGCCGCGGUAAAACGUAGGACGCGAGCGUUAUCCGGAGUUACUGGGCGUAAAGGGCGGGCAGGCGGUUCACAAAGUCUGGCGUGAAAUCUCCCAGGCUCAACCGGGAGGGUGCGUUGGAAACUGGUGAGCUAGAGGGCGGUAGAGGGUCGUGGAAUUCCGGGUGGAGUGGUGAAAUGCGUAGAGAUCCGGAGGAACACCAGAGGCGAAAGCGGCGACCUGGGCCGCACCUGACGCUGAACCGCGAAAGCCAGGGGAGCGAACGGGAUUAGAAACCCGAGUAGUCC
rnacentral:rRNA from 1 species